GGAUGCGUGCCAGGGAUUUGUGCAGCUUCCUGGCUUUGCUGAUAAAGAAGGGCCACUGUGAGGUAAAACCUCUGCUCUCUCCCAACACGUUUCCCCUGCGGCUGCCCAGAAACAAGGGACCGAGAAGACAAGGAAAACAUGGAGACCGCGGCACCACAGCCAACUGCCUGCGCAGGAGGAGGCCUCUGAAGAGUUUGUGCACUUCUGCAUUUAGAAAUGUGAGCUUUGAGCCCAGGCAUUUGCAUCAGCGGGUGGAAAGUAUGAGAAAGCACAUCUAAUGCUGAAAGUUAAUGAUAGCAUUUGACCGUGUUAACCAGUAAAUGACAAGGCAGGGUCACGGGAGUUAAUUAUUCAAGCAGAACAUGAAAGAUUUUGCAGCAAAAAAAAGCCUCAAGCUGACUAGGAAGGCACCUGUGACAUGAAGGCGAGAGCUUCAGGAGAGAAGCAAUCUGGUUUAGAGGGGUUCAGCUUCGGGAGAAGGGGGCUCUCGCCUCAGCUCCCGACCUCCAGUGAGAUGUGGGGCCGCUCUCCUCGCCUCUAGGAAGACAAUCUUUGACCCUUUCCUGGACUAGGAAUGGAAGCCAACUGAAGCAGCAGGAUGCUGUUUUCUUCCAAAACUACUUGGUGGUGCUCUCUUUUGAUGGCAUUGCAGGCAUCAUGCAAGGCAGGGUGAUUUCAAGCUACUUUGCUAAUCUGCCUUCAUCAACCUAUACCAAUGGUGAUAACCACUACUUAAUAUGUGUUUCCAAUCUUCGCUGCACCGUUCUUGUACUCAUUCCCUAGGAAUAAUUACAGCUGGUGGUUACAGAUUUUCAGCUCAACAUUAUAUGUCCCAGAGCAGGCAGAGGGGAUGAAGAGGGGCUCUGCACCAUCCUCUCUUGAUGCCAACCUGCUUAUUUUAUUGAGUAUCUCUACGGGGAAACUUUCAGUCUGUUUUGAGUUUUCCUUCCUUCUGUAAAGCUACUGGUUUUAGAUAGUGUGGCAGUGGUACAUGCUGUCACAUAAGUGUUGGAACUUAGAUGUGCCUGAGCAACCUUUAUAGUCAUUGGACAGGAUUCAGGGGCAACAGUCACAUAUUUACUGCAUUUUUAAGGAACUGCGAGGUAUCCACAGUUCUGCCUCCCUGUCUAGCCUCCAGCUGCCACUGUGGAAGGGUCUUCUGUGGGUCAGUCCUCGGUCACAUCUGCCACCUCCACAUGGAUCUCCUGGAUACCAUAAGUGUUCUCAAACAGACUAGAUCCUUAUCUGCAGACAAAUAAAUUAAGCUCCUAUCUCACAUCAUCUAGCUCUGUGUAUAUUUACUGGUAAGAAAUAGGUGUCUGUUUAUUUCACCUGUCUGAGAAUGGGCUGGUGUGUCCCCUGGGGACCCCUGUCCCUAGCCAUUGAUUUAAUAGGAAUUUAGGUGAGCAGAUGAGGUGUGAUGACUUAUUUUCAGAUGGCUAUAGUGAGGUGAAAUGAAUCCCAUCCAUACUGGCACAUGAUUAAUGUUGGAACAGUAAGCACCUUGCACUUUGCUCUUAAAUGUCAUAAUAAUUUUGGUUAGAUUUAAUGUGUUUUAAAAAGUGUUCCUGCUUUUAUUAAAUUGAUCCUUGUUAAUUAUAAUCCAAUAAAUUUUAGAAGAGGCUUUAAAGGGUAAUGAUUUAUGUAUCUAUGUUCAAAAAUCAGAAAUAUCAGACAGCAAGCCAGCAAACUCCUACUCAAUUCAGAACAUGCAUUUGAGAAGUGAUUUCAAAUCUCUGUGCAAGUCAAAUAGAGGGAGAAGUAUGUACAAGACAUAUUGCUAUAUUGUGACAAACCAUAAAGAAGCUUUCAGCUAUAUAGCAUCUUGACAGGCUGUUCAAAAUCAAGUGUUUAACCUCACUCCUUACCUUGAUAAUCAGGUUUCUCUCUUUGCUUCACACAUAUAUUAUGCCAUACUUAACACACAAAAGAAAAAAGAAUGGUAAUAUUUUCUUUAUUGAGAGCCAACUUUGUCGUGAUGCACCCCAUCACUCUUCUUGUCUUUUAUCAUAAGAAAAGCAUCCUGUACUUGCUUGUCUAGCAAACAGAUCUUUCCUAGCAGUAGUCCUGAUAUCCAGAAUAGGGAUUUAUGAGGCCAGGAAGCAAAGUGUAGUCUGUCCCCUCAAGAAUAACUGCUAGAGUGUUAACCUGCCAAAAAAAAAAAACCCCAACACCAAACCCAAAAUCCAACAAAAAAAACACCAACCAAAACCCAAGGAAAAAAACCCCAAACAUAACAUUUUUUUCUUAAGUCCUGUCUCUCUAAAGAUAUAGACUUUACUUACUUCCUCCGAGCAGUCAGUGUUCACAAUAGUGACACAACCUCACUAAUCCAUUAAUGCUCAUAAAACUCCAAAACAGUACUCACAGAGUGUUUAUAGACUCAAAAAUAGAGGUCAGUGCAUGUGCCUGUUAUAAACACCACCUUUUUUGCAAUGUUCAUUCCACAAAUUUAGUUAUUGAUUGCUCAGUCACACCUGGCAGGCUGUGUCCAGUCUUUCUGGACAAUAAAUACCUACAAGACCUGGUGAUUUUCAUGCUUUAUCUACAUCAUCUAUUUUUCUUAGGUUGCCCUAUUCUGAUCACUACUCCAACAGCUGCUGCAGUUACUGGAUUUCUUCUGGUAUAUCCCACUCAGCUGCUGUGUCUCAAAAGAAUUCUUCUGGUCUGGUGAGGAUCCGCCUGUGAGAAGUUAGGAGUGAGGAGAUGCAGGGAAAUAUCUGAAAUGUCUAAAAAAAUCGAGGAAAAAUUGAAUUCUACCAGAUAAAAUGAAAAUAACUGUGCAAAUUUAGCUCUGAAUUAUCAUAAUUCUCUUAGUGCAUUAUUGGUAUUUCACAGCUCGUUACAAAAAUGCCUCAGACAGGGCACUGUGAGGAAAUGAAUGGUGAUACUUGUCCAUAAUGUCUUGGACUUUUUUUAGAAAGAUGCAUGUCACAGGCAUAGGCAGCGUGUGCAGUGUUUGCAUCAGUGCUGGUGGCUGCAUGCUACCAAUAAAACUUUCACGGGUUAGAAAUGGUCUGAGGUGGUUUCUGGUAUUGUUUUUCCUAGUUAGGGAAAUACAGGACCUGGGACUACUUCCACUGACUAAAAUGACAGCAAGAAUCAGGAAAAAAAUAAGCUGACAGACACAAUGAUUCUCACGAUUAUAAUUCCUCUCAGAAUCAGUUUUCUGUUGUCCUGCACCUAAGACCAAGGUGUAGCUUAUGUAUAUAAUGAAAAGCAGGAAGAAACAGGUGAAACUUUUGGGUUAAUUACAUGCUGAAUGUGUCAACUGCAGAUAUCUAUAACAAAUAUAUUAAUAUUAAAUAUCAUAUAUGUAAUAUUAUAUAUACACUGCUACACAUUGGUUUUGACUGUGUAAUUCUUCAGCAUUUCUCUAGAUCAAUUGUCCUCAAAUCACUGUAUUUCUGAGUAGAUCCCUGGCUUUAUGGCCAAAUUAAGUGAAGGCAUAAUAAGUGUAACAGAGGAAAGUGAUUUUUUUACUUCAGUUGAUCACCAAUUUAUACCAGUACUCUAUGCUCUAUUUGUUAAAAAAAAAAAGUCUAAAAAUAGCCAUUACUAGCAAUAGGAACUUUGGAUGAGGGGACCAGCUUAAAGAAAAUCUGAAAAUGAAUGUGUCUUUUGAAAGCACCUAUGCUAUUCAAAGGUCAGGUACAUGCUGCUCUUUCCUUGCUUCUUAAUAACAAAGCAGUAAGCUUGUUUCAUGGUAACAAUAAUAGCCACUGUGCCAAAUCCAAUCCAGCACUCUACGUACAGCGAUACUGACAUCUGACGAUAUUUGUGACAAAUUAUUAUGGUCUUCCAUCAUCAAAGUGCAGUAAAAAUCCAAGGCUGCAGUAAAAAUUAAUCUGGCCAAGACACUGGCCUAUAGUUAUUCCACCACCGCCCCGCCCCCCUCCCCCCCCCCCCCCCGCAAAAUUGAUGUAUGCAAGUCAUCAGACAUGACUUUGUGUGGGUAUUAGAUGUACAUAAAGCUUGCGGAGAGAAACAGGGGGUUGCUACAAAAUACUCAGAAACCAACUACUUAAAGUGCACCUUUUUACACCUCCUGUGUCAUUGCAGACAGUACCACAAGUAAGUGACCUAGCAAUAUCUAGGAUGUUUUGAAAACCUCCCACCAGUGAGCUGGCAACAACAUUUCACCUUUCAUACGGAGACUACUGAUUCAAAGUCUGGCCUGAGUUAAUCUGACCAAGAAAAUUAUUCUAAUUUAAUUGCUGAUUUGAAAUAACUCAGUAGUUUUAGUGAAACCCUAUGUAUGAAAGUCUUCAUCACAUAACCACAGCCAUCCCUACCAUUCCCCCGGAUCCUCAGAAAAUGUGAAGGAACUGAAUACCUAGAAGAAGAAACUGGUCAUUGGCAUCAAGCUAGGGCAAAACUAGGGACACUGUGUGGUGCUGCUGGUGGCAGGGCAGUGUAAGGUGUAUCUCCUGUCAAGGGAAGAAUUUUCUCUGAGACUUAUCAAAUGGACUAAUACUACAUUCAUUCAGUAAAAUACUGAUUUGGAGGUCAAAAAAAGUACUGUCUCCGGCUAAGGAGAGGAAUAUAAAUAUAAACAUAAAGGGAUGUAAACUAUAUCCUUGGCUUUUGCCUCGUUUGCUUAAUCGCUUUUGUAUUCUCGGUUUGUAGAGCAUCUGUAUAACCCAUACAUGGCAAUAAUUUCAUGCACAAACUUUAGUAUGCACAGUGCUGCAGAAGUUGAACAAACCUUGUCAAUCACAGAACACAGGAAAACCUGUUGGUGGAACAAAUUUGCUGCAUGCUUUAACUGCAGUCAAAGAGGCCUAGCUUCCCCUGCAUUGUCAUGGUUUCUUGUUCAACUAGAAUUUCUUCCAUACAUCUGAAAUUUGCUCCAGGUUAUGAUGUUUUGUGGUCCAUCACAACAUGGCAUAUUAACAAUUGAUACUAUAUAAUCCACGAUGAAAAUAUGCCCUUAAUGCUCCAUGACAAACGGAAAGAACUUCAGUAUCUUAUUUAAAACAGUAGAGGGGAAAUGGAAUACAGCCCAGCUCUGUAGUUUAAAUUGAUCCUUUCUGUUAAAGAGAAAGGGGUAUACAAGUAAGAGGUACCUGAAACUUAGAUUAUUCAUACGAGGGAGUCAAUGGCUUAAGCUUUUCUGAGUUGGCUUGCCCAUUUUUUUAACUGCUUCCUAUCCACUAUUACCUAUUACCUAUUUCUGUAAUAAAUGUGACAGUAUAAUUUUGGAUAUGCUUUCAUGAUAUUAAAAUAGGCAUUCUGGAAAACUCGGUUAGCAUUUCAGUAUGACACUUCUAUAGAAUUAGAAAAACAGAAGACUUUACCCUUUUGAAAUCAACGAAAACAGUCCUUUGACUACUCGAGACUGCAGUUGCACCAUUUAAAAAUUUUCUUUUAACAUUCCACAGCACGAUAGAUGCAGUGCAAGCACAAAGAAAAGUGUAUGGUCUCUACUCCAAACAGCAAGCAUUGACAAUGAGAAAAUUUUCUGUUAUAGUCUACAAACUAGUUUCAAACUCUAUAGCCAUGUGGUUUUUAAUAAAUUCUAUAGGCUUUUAAAAUGUUAUCCACAGAUUCUCUCACUUUGAUUACUUUUAAAAAUCUAUCAUCCGUUUCCAGAGACCUACUUAUUAGUAUUAACAUUAUAGCGUUAAUACUUUUUGGUUCAGACUUGUUUUUAAGUAGUACAGUGUGACAGUACUGCAGGAGAAUAAUUAAUUAUAAUUUUAAAUAUAUCCAAAUAUUUUGAAAAAGAAAUAAAUGGAUGUGAUUACUGCAUAUGAUCUACUUAAUGCACAUGUAAGUAGAUAUUUAAAUAUUUUGCAUUUGCAACUGGAAUUGAGCCUUUUUAUCCUACCUGCAGCUGGGCUACAAACUGAGUGGAUAAAUAACAGGUGUUCUGGUUUCAGUGACUUAUUUCUCAGCUUCCUCAGGGACAGUUAAGCCACUAAAUAUUUCUCGCAUGUACCUUACAACAUAAGAGCCUCAAAUCAAAACCCUGUCAUUGUGGGAUGCCUCAUGUUGAGAUUAACCAUUCCCUUAUUUGAAGAUUUUUCUUCUGGAUCAGUGUCUGGCUGUUCUGGAACGGCCAAUGUUCAUGGCUGAUUCUAAACAAGCACAAAACCCUCCUGAUUUUCUUUCACCAAAAUUUGACUUGGUUUUCCUGAUGCUGCACAAUGCAUUUUAAUUAAAAGGUUUUAAGGAGCUGAAGUGAGAUAGAACCUGGAAGCUAUUCUACAUUCUUCUGUGCCUUUCAGUUCUUCCCUCUCCUUCCCUCCUCUCCUUCUACCAUGUCCAAGACAGACUGCACUGCAUCAGUGCGGUGGCAGAUGACCAACAGUGCUACAUUUAGCUGUUUGUAAUAAACAUGCCCUGAAUGAUGGGAAAUAUUUCCACCUUGGGAACUAAGUAUGAUGCACUUUUUCUUUCCCCCUGCUUGAAUGUGCAAGAGACAGGGA